GCCCCUGAAGUGAGGAACGAAUAGUGGUGGGCCAUUGAUUCUCGGAUGGGGACCAAAGAACAAUUAUAAGUCUUGUUCGGACGCCCUUCAUCUUUUGGACUCGCCAUCCAACCCUCAUUAACCAUCCGGUUCAUAUCUCAGGAUCCCACGUCCCAGACACAUCCUUAACAACCCAUCCGAUAACGCGGCACUGUCGACCAGGUUCUUCCAACUUAUACAAACCAUGAAUCUGGAGAGCUACUCACGACUCAUUUCCUCCGACCAAGACGAAGACGUCAAGGCAGAGAAUAGGGCUUGCACAACGCUAUUGUCGCUCUUGAUGCUUGUUGGGAUCCUUACGUUGGGCGCAACGAUGUGGCAUGGGAACAGUUAAAGAACUGAAACCUGCGUAACAUCUUCGGUCCAGAUUCGAUGACCAGCGACAGCGACAGCGGACAGGACUGGAUGGCCGAUCGGUGGGUGGGUGACGUCGAAUGGGAGUUCUCUGGUCAUAAGUUGAAGGACGGCCGAUGAGGCAUGCGAUGACAGGAUUAUACGUUGGAUUCCGAAUGACGGACAAGUUGAUACCCGAAUUUGUUGGAUUGGAUGGUCGAGGACAAUCAUCGACGGGAUUGCUGGAGGACGAUGGCGUUUUUGGAGUUUUUCGAGGUUGAACAGCCCUGCGCUGACAGCGUCAGUGGACUUUGGCUUUUGACGGAGUUUUUAGCGGGCUCCAUUUGCUGCAUGCCAGGGCACCAAUGCGGGGAAGUGGAUUGAUCCAUAGCACAGGACUUGGCGUUUUAGGUGGGGCACCUUGACAUUAGCAUGUGCAGACCGCCUUUGGCAGAAUCAACAACGCUCCACUAAAAUUUUCUCGGA